AAAUCUUUAUCCAAAGCCAGGUUGGCUCUUCAUGGCAAUCACUGGAUAGCUCGGGUAGUCAUAUUUUAUCAUCAGAGCCUAUUGUUUUGGCAUCCUCAAACUAGACUCUAAGAUCACAACUCACAAGACUCGAUAGAAAGUGAUCACAUAGGCGGAACACCGAAGGCUGGGUUAAUAUUAAUUUAUCGGUGACAAGAAUAUCAACUGUGUUGAUCCCUCUCGAGAUUGCUUAUUGAAGUUGUUAAUAUUAAUGUCUUGGAGGAGCCUAUUGCUUGUUUAAUCACAUAUGUCUCUUGGCUUUUCGCUAAAGCUGUAGCUGAAGGCUUUAAACUCUCAAUAAUUGAUAUUCAGUUUCUUGUA